AAUUUUAAUGUAAAAUGACCAAAACGCUCAAUUUGAUGAAAUAUUUACAUGUAUGCCACAAUGCCAAUACCAACCCCCAAAUCCCAUCCAUGACCCUUGGCCCUUCUGCUCCAUCCUGUCGCAAUCUGAAACGGCGUCGUUCACCCACGCGCACAUCGACUGGAAGGAGACGCCGACGGCGCACGUGUCCAAGGCUGAUGUGCCGGGCCUGCGGAAGGACGAGGUCAAGGUGGAGGUGGAGGACGACAAGAUUCUUCAGGUCAUCGGAGAGCGGAAGCACGAUGUGGAAGAGAAGACUGAGACGUGGCACCAGGUCGAGCACAGCAGGCAUGAGUCCUCAACGUCACGGUGCCCAAGGAGGAGGCCAAGAAGGUCUAUGUCAGGUCAAUUGAGAUCUCUGGUUAAUCAGGCUUAUCUGUAAUUAAGUGUGUUCUAAGUGUGAUUAGGGUAAAUAAAAUUGUAUUAUGCAGCUUAAUUGCUUGGUGUUCUAUGAUUAUUAUUAUGAAAUUCAAUGUAGGCAAUCCUAAAGGGCUUUUCGUUUUCGAAUAACAUGUAAGAAUUUGGUAUGUUUCAACCAAAAUUAGGUACGUCUACUGCUUAUUUUAGAUAAUUUUCUUCUGUGUUUAGCAUUACUACUUGAUGCAACUGUUCAUUCACCCAUAAUCUUAACAAGUUCAUGUAGCUUAGGUUGCUCGUGAAAGGUGCCGAAGUGACUCUUCUGGGCUUUUAUGGGUGUGGCGUGUCGAAACAAGAAUAAUAUCAGAUAACCCAAAGCCAAGAGCACUAACAAUAGUAGGGGAGAGGAAGCAGAUCAAGAGCAAUAUGACUACCUUUGCUUUGUCCUUGUGAAUAUGCUUUAUUAGCAGGAUAAGGUAAUGACGAGUGCAGUAGCAGAACACGAGUUCGAGGGUAGUAGCAGAACUGGAUGAGCAUGACUGCAGUAGCAUGAUUGGAUGAGUGCAAUAGCAAGAUGAGGCGAUGACGAGUGUAGUAGCAGAACUGGACGAGUAUGAGUGCAACGAGUGCAAUAGCAGGAUUGGAGGAGUGCAGUUAGGCGAUGACGAGUGCAGUAGCAGAACUGGACGAGCAUGAGUGCA